rnacentral:rRNA from 1 species
AAGACCUUGCGCUUUUGGAGCGGCCGAUGUCUGAUUAGCUUGUUGGUGAGGUAAAGGCUUACCAAGGCUUCGAUCAGUAGCUGGUCUGAGAGGACGGCCAGCCACACUGGGACUGAGACACGGCCCAGACUCCUACGGGAGGCAGCAGUGGGGAAUUUUGGACAAUGGGGGCAACCCUGAUCCAGCCAUGCCGCGUGAGUGAAGAAGGCCUUCGGGUUGUAAAGCUCUUUCAGCCGGAACGAAACGGUUACGGUUAAUACCCGUAACUACUGACGGUACCGGAAGAAGAAGCACCGGCUAACUACGUGCCAGCAGCCGCGGUAAUACGUAGGGUGCGAGCGUUAAUCGGAAUUACUGGGCGUAAAGCGUGCGCAGGUGGUUUUGUAAGUCAGAUGUGAAAUCCCCGGGCUUAACCUGGGAACU